AUGCUUGCGCAGAUAACCUCGGUAACUGAGAGACCCACAUAUGCCCAAGCAUAUUGUGUAGAAAGGUUCCCAAUACUGAGCACAAGGCCCCCUGCCAUUGCAAACAGCACCGAAGGCCAGUUAUCCUUCAUCAAAAAAUCCAUUCAUUCAGAGUCAGCAAACCGAAUGAAAAAUUGUCUGUACCAACAGGAAGUUUUGCUUGCUAACCUGAUUGAGCUGGGUGAAGAAAUUGGGCAUGUUUUGCUUGCUGUCCCCAAGCUGGCCCAAGGUGAGUGCAAUGAGGACCGCGGCGAGGAGGUUGGUGAUCGAGUAAUCGAGGUACGUGUGCUGCGGUAG
rnacentral:rRNA from 1 species